UGGGGAAUAUUGCACAAUGGGCGCAAGCCUGAUGCAGCCAUGCCGCGUGUGUGAAGAAGGCCUUCGGGUUGUAAAGCACUUUCAGCGAGGAGGAAGGUGGUGGACUUAAUACGUUCAUCAAUUGACGUUACUCGCAGAAGAAGCACCGGCUAACUCCGUGCCAGCAGCCGCGGUAAUACGGAGGGUGCAAGCGUUAAUCGGAAUUACUGGGCGUAAAGCGCACGCAGGCGGUUUGUUAAGUCAGAUGUGAAAUCCCCGGGCUCAACCUGGGAACUGCAUUUGAAACUGGCAAGCUAGAGUCUCGUAGAGGGGGGUAGAAUUCCAGGUGUAGCGGUGAAAUGCGUAGAGAUCUGGAGGAAUACCGGUGGCGAAGGCGGCCCCCUGGACGAAGACUGACGCUCAGGUGCGAAAAGCGUGGGGAGCAAAACAGGAUUAGAUACCCUGGUAGUCCACGCUGUAAAACGAUGUCGAUUUGGAGGUUGUGCCCUUGAGGCGUGGCUUCCGGAGCUAACGCGUUAAAUCGACCGCCUGGGGAGUACGGCCGC
rnacentral:rRNA from 1 species